AUGCACGAAAGGCUCUGCCAGGGUCAGGGGCAUACAGCAGAAGCCUGCAAAAACAUGAAAUAUAGCAACUGCUUAGAGACCGGACAUUUCACCAGAGAAUGCAAGGGCUGCCGCUGCUGCAACAUUUGCAGCAGGGAAGACCACCUGGCCCAUCUUUGUCUGCAGUGCAGACCCUCAUAUGCAGAUGUCCUGUCUGGAAGUGGGGUAUCUGUGGAGCAGGUUCUUCAGGCACUAACAUUGGUGGAUAACAAAACUGAUGUGAUGGAGACGGUAGUGGAAAUGGCGGUGGGGGCUGGAGAAGCCCUUGGCGAAGUCAGUGAUGUCCUGGGUGCAAGCCCUGCCCCUACCCUGGCGGAGAUUCAAAAGCAGAAAAAAGAAGACUCAACUCCAAAGAAAAAGUCUGGAAGGAAGGCUGCGGCACCCUGGAGGAGAUGGACGCCCUGUGGGCCCUGUGUGGCUCCCGUCGAUGUCGCUGAGUCAGCGGUCGUCGUACGAGGGGAGGACGGGUGACGCCCAACUCAGAGGAGUAUCUGCCAGACGGGGCUCUAGUGGGGUGGUGGUGUCCUCUGGGGGAGGAGGUCUUAAUGGAUUGAAAAGGGGCAGGUUUUUAAUCUCAUUUUAGUGUUAUUGUAUUGUUUUAUUUGGUGUUUUAGCAACGUACCCCAAUGGCUGAUUUUAAAAUUUUAACUCUUAACGUCAGGGGGUUAAAAAACAAAGUAAAAAGAACUGCUUUGUUUAACCAAUUUGAGUCCUAUUGCCUUCAACUUAUGUUUUUUGCAGGAAGUCCACCUCCGGGACCAGCGGGACGUGACUCUCUUCUCUCAAGAAUGGAGAAGGGUGAGUCCUACUGGAGUGUAGGUGGUGUCCAGUCUGCAGGCGUGGGAAUACUUUUUGGGGACCGCACCUUUGAGAAGGUAAGGCCUUUUAUUGUUCAGCCCGGCUGAGUGUUGGGGUUGGACAUCACGUGGAGAAGUUUGCACUUAUGUGUUCUGUGCCUCUACACUCCGGUAGAGGUCAAGUCCCGCGUCGCUCUGUUUGACGAGUUGGUCCCUCAUUGUGUGACCGAUAGACAUUUAAUAAUAGGAGGAGACUUCAAUAUUUUUCUUGGUGGCAAGGACAACGCUAGUAUUAAACAUUUUAAAAAACUUUAUUAGCAGUUUUAACCUCACUGACGGUUUUAGGAAAUGCGCCAGGUAAUACCCGGAUUGGUGGGGUUGCAUCAGCCGCGGUGCCUGUAGUCGUUUAGAUUACAUUUUAGCAUUGCCCUCCGUAACUUUUAAGAAGGUUCUCUUAACUGCCCAGUGGCCCACGGACCAUAUGAUGGUCAAGGCCAUGAUUUCCAUCUUGGCCCCGUCCCGUGGCCGGGGCUACUGGAAGAUGAAUGUUUAAGUUCUCCAAGAAAAGGAGUUUAGAGACCUUUUUUAUGAGAAUUUUUCAUUGUGGCAGGAUUCCAUGGAUUUUUACCCCUCGGCAGCUGAUUGGUGGGAGGGGGUCAAGGUGAAGGCCAAGA
rnacentral:lncRNA from 1 species